rnacentral:hammerhead_ribozyme from 1 species
GCACUACGGAGGAGUCUCAAAAUAGGACGAAACGGCCGUCCAGUGC